GUCUGACGGAGCAACGCCGCGUGAGUGAUGAAGGUUUUCGGAUCGUAAAGCUCUGUUGUUAGGGAAGAAAAGUGCGAGAGUAACUGCUCGCACCUUGACGGUACCUAACCAGAAAGCCACGGCUAACUACGUGCCAGCAGCCGCGGUAAUACCUAGGUGGCAAGCGUUGUCCGGAAUUAUUGGCCGUAAAGCGCUCGCAGGCGGUUUCUU
rnacentral:rRNA from 1 species